GAUCGCAGUAUAAAAAGUCAAACAAAAAAAAAUAUAUAUACGUAUGUAAUCACUUAAAGUAUCAGUUUUUUUGAGUAACAGUGACAAUUUCAAUCAUAAAAAAAAACAUUGGAAGUUUAUAAAUUUGGGCAAAACAAUAAUCAAACGAUCGAAUAUUUUAGAAAGAAGCAUUUUCAAAUUUUUAAUUUGAAAACCAUCAAAUCGUCAUUAAAAGUAUAUGUAACAAUAGAACAAAUUCCUUCCAACAUCGCAGGAUGGAAAAAAAUUUCCGCAUAUUUUGCAUUGGAUUGUUGGUUGUUUUGAUGAUAACAAACACCUUUACAUAUGAUCAAUGUCUGCGUAAAAAGUGUAACACUGAUGAAAAUUGCAAAAACUGCCAUGUUAAUUCUAAUUGCAAAUGGAAUCUAUGGCAUUGGGAUUACGUUUGUUCUCCAUUUUACCCAUUCAAUCCGAAUCCUGGAGAACGUUAUUAAUCGUAUAUCUAUACAAAGGAACAGCGUCGGAAUUAAAUAGAGACCAUUUUUAUACAUCAUAGGAAAGGAAAGGAUUUAAAUCAUUCCAGACACGUCAUUUCAAAUUUACUAAUUUCAUUUUUUUAUUAAUGAAAAUGUAACGAAUCCAAAUAAAAUUACC